UCCAUUUACUAAAAAUAUCUACUUGUGGUCAGUUCAUUAAUAUGUUUUCAUUAAGAACAAUAGAAGAGUUUAUGUUAAUCAAACCCAUCAAGGUCUCCACAGCUCUGUUCAAGAAAAAGAAAAAGGGUCUCUGCAGCUACAACAGAUUGCAGACAUCAUGUUCCAAUGGCUGAAAAUACACUGAUGUGAUUACUCAGAAAUAAAACUCACAUCUCCACAAUGCGAUGGAAACCUAUAAAAGUGAGCAAUACUUACUGAUUUAAAAAGUUGGAAACUAGUCUCCUGUUUCUGUUUUUAGCAUUCCAAGUCAUACGACGAUAAUCACUGGAAAAAGGAAUUUAUCUAUUGGUCAGAUUUACUAAACAAAGUGAUAGUAGACUUGUCACACAUUAUUUUCAUAGAAAAAAGUCUAAAAUAAACCUUGAAUUCGUAGUCGAAGUCUGAAUCAAACCCUUGAAAUUGGCACCCUAUCCUUUCUAAUACCCGGUUGAGCCCUGCCGUUUUUCACUAAAAGCUCUUUUGGGUUCCAGGGUUGCUUACGCGGCACUUGUUUGAGAGGGAAUCCAGCGUCCUUCUUGCCUGUCCUGGAGCUUGCUGAUGGCAAGGCAUGCGCGGCGCCGGAGCACCUGCAACCCCCGUGUAGUCCAUGUCGUACUAGAGCGGUGACUGCGCUCCCGUCUUCACUCCUCCCGCGAGUGUGUUCUGAGCCAAGGACCAUGUCCAAAUAAACCACUAAUCCACCAUUGAGCUAGUAGUUCUUGGUGAACGACAAGGUGAAGAGAGGAGAUUUGAGGCAAUGGCGUAGCUCUCAAAGCCUGGCCGGUGCCAGUCUCACACUUUUAUAUUCAGUCAUACACCUCAUAAACGUUUACAACCAUAGUCAGGGUCCAGUGAUCUGAUCGGCAGCUCGCGGUGGACGCCGAGCAUGACACCGAGGACGAGUCUGUGUAACACCGGCUCGCCGAGUCACCAUCCAGGUCACGUGGUCUACUGGUCGUCACCGGCAAUAGGAGACAACGAGGGUGCAGCCGCCGUGGUGUGUCCAUGCACGGAUGCACCACGCUGUGACCAAACGACCGUUGUGGCAAUUCAUGGCUUCAUGCGUGCUGGGCUGCCGCGUCGCACGAGAGCUCGCCAGCAACGGCAUGUGCGCUUGGCUCGUGUCAACGUCCGAUUCUUUUCAUGUGGGCCCAAAUGAUCAGUGUGAGAACUAAAUAAUCCCGGUCGGGAUCGUCUUUUUCCCGGUGCAACAAACGGGUCUGGGGCAAAUAUUGGCCGGGAUCGAUAAAUACAGGGCGUCGGUUUCAGGGAUUUAAAGGUGCCUGAAAUCUAAAAAGCGGCCGGCCACUAAAUAGGUAGAACGAGCGGCCGAACGCUCGCCGCUCGAUCGACUCAGAUCGUGUGGCCCGCAACGCCAGGUGUUACCUGGUCGGCCAGGCAGUCGCGAGCACCGCGCUACACGACAGACGUCCAAUCUUUCCUCCUCCACCUUCUCCUCUUCAGCCACGCCCAUCUUCCCCCGUCGUUCCCCUUCUCCAUCCACCUACCCCCGAGCAGCAGGGAGCAUCGGCGCCUGCGCUGCGUCGCCAUGGAUGGCCCGCCCCGAGUAGCAGCCAGCAGCCAACGACGUGAGGCUGGGAGUUCCUCUCCUCCCCGGAUCUCAGUGACGGCGAGAUCCAGCAGAUGUAGACCAACCGGCGGUUGUCGUCGCCACGGCACGCGGCCCUCCAUGGGCUUGUGCUUCCGCUCACUAGGCGACGUGGUUCCCAGUGACUUACCACACGGCUGCCUUGAUCUGUGCCCCGAUGACAUGCCUAGUGCCCCAAGAAGGUCGUAUUUUCUCCUCAUCCACUUCUUUUGCUCUCUUUCUCUCUCUUCUUCCCUGGCCUGAUGCGAUGAUUUGCCCCCAACAAAUCCAUCAAUUUUUCAUGUUUCCUUGCCCGGAAUGAAUAGAUUGGAUGUGUUGGUUCGUUGCUGCAGGGACGUGCUGGAGUCCUCGUCCACUGCAUCUAGUAAUUACAGGCCGUAGCAUGGGAAGAUAGAGAAUCUCUGCCAACAUUUCUGCUCAGACUGUGUACAACUACAAAGUGUUGCAGUACCCAGAUCAGAAGCCUCUGCAUCCUGAAACGGCACCUUCGCCACUUGCAGAUCCAGAACAAGUAUUUACAGGGUAGUUUUAGUUGGCAUCUAUAGUAGUUUUAGUUGCACACAUAGUUAUUUUUCGUUGGACAUGAUUAUUGAGAAGUUACACAUACGGUGAUCAUUUUUGUUGGCAUCUAUAGUAGUUUUAAUUUAAUUGCACACAUAUUUGUUCUCAGUUGGAUACGAUCAUUGGGAAGUUGCACACACAACGAUCAUUUUUUGUUGGCAUCUACAGUACUUCUAGAUAUUACGCACAUAAUUAUUCUCGGUUAGAUACGGUCAUUCGGAAGUUACAUACACGGUGAUCAUUUUUUGUUGGCAUCUAUAGUAGUUCCAGUUGCACACAUAGUUGUUUUCAGUUGGACACAAUCAUUGAAAAGUUGCACACACAAGGAUCAUUUUUGGUUGGCAUCUAUAGUAGUUCUAGUUGCACACAUAGUUGUUUUCAGUUGGACACGGUCAUUGGAAAGUUGCACACACGACGAUCAUUUUUUGUUGGCAUCUAUAGUAGUUCUACUUGCACACAUAGUUGUUUUCAGUUGAACACGGUCAUUGGAAGUAGUUGGCAGGGGCAAUAGAAGUAGUUGCACAGAAUCUGCUAGGCAAUUUGUGUGAGACAAGACUACUUGUAUGCUCGUUUUUAAUACUGUUCUUGUGCUUUUUCUAGUCUCGUUUUUAAUACUUUUAAUACAGGAAAUAGAAUCUCAUCUUCUUUGCUGCACAAAUUUGCAGCAAAAGUUGGCUUUGGAUACAAGUUUAGCUGCACAAUUAUAUGUUUAUAUUUGCACAAACAACAAAUCCAGUCUUUUUCUAUGGGAGAGAAGUGAAGUGGUGGUUGGUAGUGGUCGGCUCGUCACCUGGCGGAUCUGGGAGCGAUCGCUCGCGCGACCGAACGGCCACGGGCCGGCCGCCCGUUUCGGUCAGUUAGUGGCCGGCCACUUUUUAGACUUUAGGUUUUCUAUUUCAUAUAGUCCGUGUGUUGGUUGAACACAUUUUUUACAGGAAAAGAUAGACUGAAGUAGUGUCUGCAAAUAGAAGCCCAUAUUUGUGCCAACUAAACAUGGAUCCAAAACCAUCUUUUCCUGCAAUGUGUGCAACCAACAACCAAAAGACUAGAACAAAUGGACUCCAGUCUGGGCUGUUUUGUUGCACACAUUUGCAUAAAAAGGUUGGCUUGGACCCAUGCUUAGUUGCAUAAAUAUGUUCUUCUUUUUGCAGAAACAGUACACCCAGUCCAUCUUUCUAGUCUGGGAUUUUUCUUUUGCACACAUGCCACAGGAAAGUUGGUUUUGGACCAAUAUUUUAGUUACACAAAUAUGUGCUUCUUUUUGCACAAACAGUACACCUAGUCCAUCUUUCUAGUCUGGGCCAUCAUACAGUUGAGAUUAGUACUUUUUCUGGAGAACUCAAUGCAGCUAGUAUUUUCAACAGCAUCAGCGUCAUUUUUAUAAACUCGGUUUUUGGUUUGGUGACGGUGUGAUGAUUUUUUUUCUCUCAUCAUGCAAGUGUUGAAUAACUAUUUUUCUGACUUGGUAUCCUCAAGAUUUCUUGUUGCACAAGAGUAUCCAUUUAGUUGGCAUCCUCAGCAUUUCUAGUUUCAAGGAACAAUAUACAACUAGUUGACAUCCUUAGUUUUUCUAGUUGCACAACAGUAUAUAAUUUAGUCCCAUCUCCAAAAAAAUUGAGGGUUGCCAAAGAGUAUCUUUGGCACCCUCAGACUUUAUACUUGCACAGUAGUAUCCAAUUAGUUGGCAUCCUCAGCAAUUCUAGUUACACAAUACUUUUCUAACUAGUUGACAUACUUAAGACUUUUUCUAGUUGCACAAGAAUAUGUAUUUAGUUGGCAUCCUUAGCAUUUCUAGUUGCACAAUACUUUUCUAACUAGUUGACAUACUCAAGACUUUUUCUAGUUGCACAAGAGUAUGUAUUUAGUUGGCAUCCUUAGCAUUUCUAGUUGCACAGAGAACAUAAUAUUGUGUUGGCAUCCUACAAUUUAUACAGUACCUACAAUUUAUUGAACAUUUUUUCUAUCUACAAUGUGCAGGUCUAUGAUUCAGACAGUAGCUACAUGAAAAGAAGGGCAUGAUUUUCUGCAGAUCAAUGCAAGUGAACAUAUCAAGCAAGGUCUGCUACAGCAACUUCAAAGAUAGAAGCAAAAUCAGAUUUCAACUAUAAUUGUCUAUAGCUAUUUUAGUUAGAUUUGCACAUUUAGAUCAACGGUUUGAUGGCAGUGUGUUUCAAAUUUGUGAUGGCAGUGUGUGAACCUAUUUUCUAAGAACUAUAUUUGCAGAUUGUUUUUUAUUAGAACAUAUCGUAUAUCGCUCGUCAUCGUAUAUUGUUUGUCUUCUUCCAGAUUUUUCAAGUUCCUGCCAAGGUUGCACAGUUUUGACCCAUUUUAUAUUUCCAGUUUCACAGUUCCUGCUUAUAGUUGGAUGCUAGAACGGGGUUAGUUGCACAAAAUAGGUUUAGUGUUGUAUAAUCUAUUGAGUUGGCACACAACACUCAUUCAGUUGACUACCUUAUUUGGCUUAGUUGCACGAAAGCAAUCUACUGGUUGAACAGUUUUUCCGCAAACACACUAUGCAAGAUUCAUUUGAUUUUUGACAACCAAAUACAUGAGUUCUUGCGAAAGUUGCACAGUUCUGACACUUUUAUAUUUCCAGUUGCACAGUGCCUCCUCAUAGUUGGAUGCUACAACUGGGUUAGUUGCACAAGAAAAGGUUUAGAGUUGCAUAAUCUGUUGAGUUGGCACACAACACUCAUUCAGUUGGCUAUCUUAUUUGGCUUAGUUGCACGAAAGCAACCUACUGGUUGCACAGUUUUUCCUCAAACACACUAUGCACGAUUCAUUUGAUUUUUGACAACCAAAUAUACAAGUCAAAGAUGUGUGCAAGGAAAUCACUACAAGGAGCAAGAUAUACAAAAGAGAAUCUCGAAGAAGAUGGGCAAGUCUUCUCACCUCUGGAUCCUAAAGGUAGGUUUUCUUUUUCGUCCCUCCUCUCUUCUGAUCUGGCUUUUUCUGGUCUUCUCUCUGAUUUCUAAGCCCUCUUCUCUUCUCUUGUUCUUUUGUUCUGGCGAUGAAGGUCCUGCAAACUGGGCAGAUCCUUCUUUCGUGAGGAAGAAGAAGAUCCUGCCUGGUCUUUGAUCUACUUUUUUUAUUGUCUUUUUUGUGAUCUCUAAGCCUCUUCUCUUCUCUUAUUUGUUCCUGGGAGCCGCCAUGUUGUCCUUCUCUCCUAGCGAUGAAGGAUUCUGCAACCUGGGCAGAUCCUUCUUUCGUGAGGAAGAAGAAGAUAGCCAGGGCGCAGUUGGUGGGCGGGGCAUGGUUUGGCGAGGAGGGUGCACGUGAUCCCGCGGCUAGCUGGCGGGCGGGGCAGUUCCCUUUUUCGCUCCGAUGGGCG
rnacentral:lncRNA from 1 species